rnacentral:rRNA from 1 species
CGCGUAGGUGGUUUGGUCAGUCAGAUGUGAAAGCCCUGGGCUUAACCUGGGAAUUGCAUUUGAUACUGCCAGACUAGAGUAUGGUAGAGGGAAGUGGAAUUCCGGGUGUAGCGGUGAAAUGCGUAGAUAUCCGGAGGAACAUCAGUGGCGAAGGCGGCUUCCUGGACCAAUACUGACACUGAGGUGCGAAAGCGUGGGUAGCAAACA